rnacentral:rRNA from 1 species
GACGAACGCUGGCGGCGUGCUUAACACAUGCAAGUCGAACGGAAAGGCCCUGCUUGCAGGGUACUCGAGUGGCGAACGGGUGAGUAACACGUGGGUGAUCUGCCCUGCACUUCGGGAUAAGCCUGGGAAACUGGGUCUAAUACCGGAUAGGAGCCAUUUUUAGUGUGAUGGUUGGAAAGUUUUUUCGGUGUAGGAUGAGCUCGCGGCCUAUCAGCUUGUUGGUGGGGUAAUGGCCUACCAAGGCGGCGACGGGUAGCCGGCCUGAGAGGGUGGACGGCCACAUUGGGACUGAGAUACGGCCCAGACUCCUACGGGAGGCAGCAGGGGGGAAUAUUGCACAAUGGGCGCAAGCCUGAUGCAGCGACGCCGCGUGGGGGAUGACGGCCUUCGGGUUGUAAACUCCUUUCGCUAGGGACGAAGCUUUUGUGACGGUACCUAGAUAAGAAGCACCGGCUAACUACGUG